rnacentral:rRNA from 1 species
GAUGAACGCUGGCGGCGUGCCUAAUACAUGCAAGUCGAACGAAACUUCUUUAUCACCGAGUGCUUGCGCUCACCGAUAAAGAGUUGAGUGGCGAACGGGUGAGUAACACGUGGGCAACCUGCCCAAAAGAGGGGGAUAACACUUGGAAACAGGUGCUAAUACCGCAUAACCAUAGUUACCGCAUGGUAACUAUGUAAAAGGUGGCUAUACUACCGCUUUUGGAUGGGCCCGCGGCGCAUUAGCUAGUUGGUAGGGUAAAGGCUUACCAAGGCAAUGAUGCGUAGCCGAAUUGAGAGGUUGAUCGGCCACAUUGGGACUGAGACACGGCCCAAACUCCUACGGGAGGCAGCAGUAGGGAAUCUUCCACAAAGGGCGAAAGCCUGAUGGAGCAACGCCGCGUGGGUGAAGAAGGUCCUCGGAUCGUAAAACCCUGUUGUUAGAGAAGAAAGUGCGUGAGAGUAACUGUUCACGUUUCGACGGUAUCUAACCAGAAAGCCACGGCUAACUACGUG